rnacentral:rRNA from 1 species
AUUGAACGCUGGCGGCAUGCCUUACACAUGCAAGUCGAACGGCAGCACGGGGCAACCUGGUGGCGAGUGGCGAACGGGUGAGUAAUGCAUCGGAACGUACCUUUCAGUGGGGGAUAACGUAGCGAAAGUUACGCUAAUACCGCAUAUUCUGUGAGCAGGAAAGCAGGGGAUCGCAAGACCUUGCGCUGAUUGAGCGGCCGAUGUCAGAUUAGCUAGUUGGUGAGGUAAAGGCUCACCAAGGCGACGAUCUGUAGCGGGUCUGAGAGGAUGAUCCGCCACACUGGAACUGAGACACGGUCCAGACUCCUACGGGAGUCAGCAGUGGGGAAUUUUGGACAAUGGGGGCAACCCUGAUCCAGCCAUGCCGCGUGAGUGAAGAAGGCCUUCGGGUUGUAAAGCUCUUUCGGCCGGGAAGAAAUCGCAUGGGCUAAUACCCUGUGUGGAUGACGGUACCGGAAUAAGAAGCACCGGCUAACUACGUGCCAGCCGCCGCCGUAAUAC